GGGCAAAUACUGGGUUCACCUCUACCAAAGUCAACACCACAAAUGUUUUAAAUUCAUCGAGACAAGUACACUGCUGAACUAGAAAUGAGUAAAAUAGAAAACUUUAAAUUUUUGAUAAAAUGAUAUUAUAAUAUAUAUGUAUGAUAUAGUUACAUGAUUUGCAUCAGAUAAUAAUUGCAGAAGAAAUAUUUGUCAUUUAAUAUAUGUAUGUCCAUGUGUGGACAUACAACAACACAAGCCUAAUAUUGUGAGUAGACAUUAGAAGCCUAAUAAAACAGGACCAUGAUGAUCCUAUUUGAUGUUUCCCAAUCUAGUAAUUAACUGUCUGUUUUACAUUAAUAGCUAAUAAAGGGUACUUAUAACUCCAUAACGCCCUAAAUGCGUAAAGAGAACAACCUAGCCUAUGCAUCAAUCUUGCUACCUUCUACAGUAUGUGUUUGCACCUAAAAAAGUGAUACUUGAAUUCUGGUCACUUCAAGAGUGAUCACACUUUAGGAUAUUGGAUGUGUAAGCAAGAGACUCGUUGUGUCUAUUGGUUAUACAAGCAACCAGUAAAUCCGGUCAGAGGAGCCAACAAUUGCAUGAAACUUUAUUUGGAUGAUGAUUGC
rnacentral:misc_RNA from 1 species